CGGUGUGGAGAGGUCACGUCUCAUGCCGUGUGACGGUUUAAUAUGCUGCGUGGAGCAUGAUCUCCCUACACAGU
ncrna:Ornithorhynchus anatinus (platypus) microRNA oan-mir-1421e precursor